UGAUGAGGGCAGUCCUAGGCAAUGGCUGCCACGCCACUUGGCUGCUUGUCAGGAUGAUUUUAGUUGAUGUGUCUGACUGGGCAGGUGUCCCCUCUCUCCCUCAGUGUUCCCUGUGCAUCCCUUUUGAAGCUUCGCACUCUGUUGAAGAGGACAUCAUCCCAGGUAGAGAGGGGAUGGGAAACUGGGCCAAUUGAAUCUAUCCUUUCUUUCCAUCAUAUCAAGGCUACUAAACUGAGAUUUGUGGACUU
rnacentral:sRNA from 1 species